UGAUGAACAUCAGAUGACGAGUCUUAUCCGAGUUUUCGAUGCAGACACCAUAUUUACUACCAUUCAUGCAUUUCCUGA